rnacentral:rRNA from 1 species
AGGGUUUGAUCAUGGCUCAGGACGAACGCUGGCGGCGCGCCUAACACAUGCAAGUCGAACGGAGUUUACUGGAAAGAUCCUUCGGGAGAUUGAAAGCAAACUUAGUGGCGGACGGGUGAGUAACACGUGAGCAACCUGCCUUUCAGAGGGGGAUAACGUUUUGAAAAGAACGCUAAUACCGCAUAACAUUGUUUUAAGGCAUCUUAAAGCAAUCAAAGGAGCAAUCCGCUGAAAGAUGGGCUCGCGUCCGAUUAGGCAGUUGGCGGGGUAACGGCCCACCAAACCGACGAUCGGUAGCCGGACUGAGAGGUUGAACGGCCACAUUGGGACUGAGACACGGCCCAG